rnacentral:rRNA from 1 species
GAUGACGCUGGCGGCGUGCCUAAUACAUGCAAGUCGAGCGAGCGGCGGACGGGUGAGUAACACGUGAUAACCUACCUAUAAGACUGGGAUAACUACUGGAAACGGUAGCUAAUACCGCAUACCAUCGGAUGUGCCCAGCUGGGGUGAGCUAGUCGGUGGGGUAACGGCUCACCUAGGCGACGAUCCCUCGCUGGUAUGAGAGGAUGACCAGCCCCACUGGAACUGAGACACGGUCCAGACGCCGACGGGAGGCAGCAGUGGGGAAUAUUGCACAAUGGGCGCAAGCCUGAUGCAGCCAUGCCGCGUGUAUGAAGAAGGCCUUCGGGUUGUAAAGUACUUUCAGCGAGGAGGCGUUACUCGCAGAAGAAGCACCGGCUAACUCCGUGCCAGCAGCCGCGGUAAUAC